rnacentral:lncRNA from 1 species
AUGGCCCCCGCUCUCCGGCUCCCGGUGGGAACGGCCUCCCCGCCCCCCGCCACGCUCCCCGGCCGCGCCGCGUUGGCACGAGCCGCCCCGAGGCGAGGAGGGCCUUCCGACCCCUCGGCCCUCCGUCCCGUCUUCCCCACCGCCCCCGCCCUCCCGCUCCCGGUAGGAAUGACCCAUGCCCCCCUCGCCCCGCCGACCCCCGCGGGCACGAGCCGCCCCGAGGUGAGGAGCGGCCUCCGACCCCGUCCCGUCAUCCGCAAGCCCCCAUCUUGUCCGGUUCCCGAAGGAACAGCCUCCCCGUCUCCCCCUGCGAUGGUACGGGCCACCCCGAGGCGAGGGGCGGCUUCCGACGGCUCGGCCCUCCGUCCCGUCAUCCGCACUUGUCUGGCUUCCGAUAGAACGGUCCCCCCCCCUUGGGCACGAGCCGCCCCGAGGCGAGGAGCGGCUUCCGACAUCCAAACGGCCCCCGCUCCUCGGCUCCCCGUAGGAACGGCCUCCCAACCCACCCAUCCCGGCCCCUGUCGGCCUCCGCCUCGAAGGCCUCCGGAUCCGUUUUCCUGUCUUCCCGUCCUUCCCUCCCGCUUCGGUCCCGAAGGGACGAGCCCGUGGUGUCGGUUCCCCCCCGUAGGCGUGUCCCGGCGGGGAGUGGAGGAUGAGUGCGGGCCGGGGGUUGGGAGGAGGAAAUCUAAUUAAGCUCUGUCUUACCCAAGCCCGGUAGAUUUCGCCAAGGGAUGUUCCCCAGCGGGGGUGGGGAACGGGGCUUCCUCUCCACCUCCCUCCGCCCUCCCACUGGGAGAGGGAACCGCCCUCCCUCGAGAUCCUCGGUUCAGACGCGACCACGGGAUCGAUCCCGAGAGGUGCCGGUCCGCGAGCCCCGUCCGUCCGGAGCCCGGAUCUCAGAAUGAGACCAAAACGUUCAGUGGGGACUCGGGGCGGGGGGUCUUUUUGUGCGGGUCCCCCUGGGACCCAGCGGGGAGGGAGGGCGGGGCGGGAGGGGGCGUCGGGCGGAAGGUGUCGUAGCAGAAAUGGCUGUAUUUUUCUCGUGAUUUUUAUUUUGGAUCAAAUACUGUAAAUUGUGUAUAAACGAUGACGCGGAGCGGUUGUUCUGGUUCCGCUGGGCGAUGGAGUCAAGUCCAGGUAUCUGGCCCGAGGCCCGGUUCCCCCCGCCCCACUCCCCCAUCCGUGGUAUUCACCGAGCGCUUACUGUGGGCGGAGCACUGUAUUAAGCGCUUGGGUGAGUCCAGUACGACGGACGACCACAGAGAGAAAAAAGGCCGAGUGUCAGGAUACGGACCUAAGCGCUGUGGGGCCGAGGGUGGGGCGAAUGUCACUCGGUGGUAUCUACCGAGCGCUUAAUGGGUGCCGCGCACUGUACUGAGCGCUCGGGAGAGGGCGAGUCCCCACCGGGCAUCUUAUAAGCCCCCCGGCGGGGAGGAGGUCACUUAAACUUGUCCGUCCUCGGAGGCGAAAGGCGCGUCCUGGCCUCGGUGUCCCUCGAUCGCGGCUCCUCCACCUCCCUCCUUGAUGCUCUUUACCCGGAGGCUCCCGAGCUCCUGUCCCUGGACUUCCAAGCCGGAGAAACUCCAGAAUUCCCCACCGAACUCCCAACCCCAUCUGUGCCCUCGAAGGACUCCACUGUAGCCAGUCGACCUCAAGCUCGAUGCUCGCCCCGU